GAAGAUUGGCAACAGAUGUUCACUCAGGGCCAAUCCUCCUCAGCCAAAAAAAAAAAAAAAAGGUAUAACAUAUCAAAGAGCUAUAACAAUCACAAACACAUAAGCACUUUAAUGGAGACUCUAUUCCGAUUGAAUUCAUCAGGGAUGGGAUCUGAGCAUCCCUAUUUUUAAAAAGUUAUCCAAAUAAUUUAUUUUCAGAUAGACUAAGAAUCACAACUUUACAUCAUCUUUAACCAGUAAAUAAAAUAUAGUAGAAAAUUCAAUACCAUCUACAGAGUAACAAGUAUUAUUAAUCAUCUAGAAAUCAGCCUCACUGAAAAUGCACAUGGCCUUUACAGCCAAAAUGUAAAAUUCUGUUGGAACAUCACUAAAGAAGACCUGAUAAACAAAUAAAUGAUAUAUUAUGUUAAUAGACAGGAUAACUUAGCAUUUUAAUGUAAUGUCAAUAAUUUCCCCACAAGUUAAUCUAUAUAUUCAAUGCAAUUCCAGAUAAAUAUCCAGCUGGAUCUCAGGGAAAACUUGUCAAACUAAUUCAAAAUGGAUAUAGAAAAAUAACAUCCAUGAACAGAUAUGAUCAUUUCCGUAAAGAAGAGAAAGAAGAGGACGUUACUACCAGAUACAAAGACAUAUUACAAAAUCACAGUAAUUAACAGUGUGGUACUGUUGAAGGAACAGGAAAAAAUAACCGACCAAUGGAAAAAGUUUCACCACGCAAAAAAAUUAUAGCUAAUAAAUGUAAAAGAAAUUACAAAAUUCGUAAAAAUUAGUAUUUUCCAAACCCUAAAAAAAAUAACAUUUCAGGCAAAGGUCAUCAUUGAAUGGUAAAGCAUUAUGAGAAAUGUUGAGUGAACUUUACAAUGAAUGGGUAAAGCUGACAUUACCUGAAAAAAAAAUAUUGAAUAAAAGAAAUCUUAACAAUAUUAGUUUUGACUGUUUCUAAUUAUACUGUGUUUCCCUAAUGGGUAUACUUAUUCAUUCAUUCUAUAGAUUUUUUUUAAAGGCACUUACUAUUGUGUCAGACACUGUGCUAGACCCUUACUUAGCAACAAACAACAAUAAAAUUAUUUGUUGUAAGAGUAGGGUUUGAUUUUCCUUUUUUCAGAUGAGACCUCCAAUUCAGUCAGACUCUCGAGAAAAUACCCAAGAGCUCAAAUAACCCAGGAGUUCUCUUAAUCUGAAGUGUCAUGCAUUGAUGCAUAUAUCUUUUCCUGUGGUGUCGAUAUUUCUGUCUUAAUCCCUCUAGAUACCUAGCAAAAGAAAAAUGUUUUAUUUAGUCCUUUUCUAUUCUUUCCUCCAGGCCUCGUAACUUUCACUUUUGCAAUACUUUCUAGCUCUUAAGGCUUUU
rnacentral:lncRNA from 1 species